CAGCAGCCACGGGAAUACGAAGGGGGCUAGCGUUGUUCGGAAUCACUGGGCGUAAAGGGUGCGUAGGCGGAUUCUUAAGUCAGGGGUGAAAUCCCGAGGCUCAACCUCGGAACUGCCUUUGAUACUGGGGAUCUUGAGUCCGGAAGAGGUGAGUGGAACUGCGAGUGUAGAGGUGAAAUUCGUAGAUAUUCGCAAGAACACCGGUGGCGAAGGCGGCUCACUGGUCCGGAACUGACGCUGAGGCACGACAGCGUGGGGAGCAAACAGGAUUAGAUACCCCAGUAGUCCCUGUCUCUUAUAC
rnacentral:rRNA from 1 species